AUUGAACGCUGGCGGGAUGCCUAACACAUGCAAGUCGAACGAGUGGCGGACGGGUGAGUAAUGACUGGGACACUGCCCGAUGGAGGGGGAUAACUACUGGAAACGGUAACCAAAACCGCCUUCCAUCAGCGUUGCCCAGAUGGGAUUAGCUUGUUGGUGGGGUAACGGCUCACCAAGGCGACGAUCCCUAGCUGGUCUGAGAGGAUGACCAGCCACACUGGAACUGAGACACGGUCCAUACUCCUACGGGAGGCAGCAGUGGGGAAUAUUGCACAAUGGGGGAAACCCUGAUGCAGCCAUGCCGCGUGUAUGAAGAAGGCCUUCGGGUUGUAAAGUACUUUCAGCGGGGAGGCGUUACCCGCAGAAGAAGCACCGGCUAACUCCGUGCCAGCAGCCGCGGUAAUAC
rnacentral:rRNA from 1 species